UUCUACUUUAUUAACAUAUUCGAUGAAAUAUUUUACGAUCCGAUAUUAGAUUAAAGAUUUAUUUACAACUUGUUGUAACUCGUAAUAUUGCGCAAAUGUUAAUAUUUAACGGUUGCGAAUUAUAACGUGUUUUUGAAUUUAUCAUUUCAAGUUUUAUAUCCCUCUCUAUUGAAAAUAUUUUCGGUAGUUACGUUCUGUUUAGUUGCGGUAUCUGCAUCGUUUCGUAUAUAACGCGGCUACCUUGACCUUCUGUGGGUACUUAUCGUUUUUUUCGUAGCUCGUAAAAAUUAGAAACUCGAAUGUGUAUCGUUGGGAAAAAAACAUCGGCGAGAUAAGCAGGAGAUCUAGCUUUUCGUCCAUGUUGGAUUUUUAGAAGCGUUUCAUGAUCGUUCGAAAAAUGAUCCGUUACAAAUUGGCUGAAAGCGUGCGCGUCUCGCGCUUCGCGCAUCGGGAUUUCACGUUGGAAAAUCGUCCCAUCAGUGGAGGAUUCGAUGCGUGUCUGUCACGCGGCCGGUUCUGUGCAUGCUCGCGUAACUUGGUUGGCUUGGUAAAUCAACGCACGAGAAGAAGAGUACAACAACGAUGCAAGGUGUGCUUGUUAUAUCGCUUUUUUAUUUAUCUUGAAAAGAAGGAAUUCUAGAACAAACUGAUUCUAAAUCUUGCAAUGAAAUACAUAGUUUUAAAUUCAUAAAAUCAGAUUAGAUAGCAGUAAAGCAAGGUUCAAGUGGCCGAUAUUGUAAUCAAUUUUAUUGUUAGAUUAGAUAUUAAGAAUAAAUAUUGAAAAAAUU